rnacentral:lncRNA from 1 species
AGAUCCUUUGUAGCAGAUGGGAGAUGGAGCUGCCUAGAUGGGGUGAUUUCAGGGAUAGCGCACUCAUAUCUGCUCAAUUUGGCCAGAAAGUGCUGUUUGCAGAAUGGCACCAGAAAUAAAAUUCCAAUGAGAAUAUUCGCACCAGGCCUCCCGGGUAUAAGGGAGAGACCAAACGAUGUUGGAGAUACUUGUCUCAAGCACUUGGCUGACUUUGGGCAAAUCAAUUAAACUUUUUGGCCUCAAUUUUCUCAUCUAAUGAGGGGGCUGAACUGGGGAGCUAUUAAAAUCCCUCUAGGUUUCACUUUCUGUGAUUUGACUAACUUCAAUUCCAUUAUCUGAAACCUCUUCUCAAAGAAAAUGUGUGCUUCAUAGAGCAGAUGAGGGAGGAACAGGAGAGAUUUGAAGGUUCCUCUUAGAGACUUUAAAACAUUUAAAGUUAAAUUAGACCUAUAAAUAACUACUUUUAAAAUCUCACUAGCCAAAAAUUGGCAGCUGUUUAUAAUAUAGCUUAUGAACGCAUAAAAAUAUGCACCUCAAACAAAGGAAAUCAAUAAAGAAGAUAGUUUCUUUGCCUUUAAAAAGCCUUAAGAUUAACAUACAGUAAGAUCAUCUGUAUAAAAUUUAAGAUCUAGUAUCAUUGCUCAAAUCCAAGUAAACUGCUCAUUUGUAAUAAAGUUUGUAUGGGUUCGCAGACCUCAUCCUUGGCUUACUGAAUCAGUUCCUCUUGGGAUGAGACCCUGAAAUCUACAUUUUAAAAGCUCUCUGGGCAAUUUUGAUGUGUCUUGUCCUGCACUAGGGAAUGUACUAGCAGAGGAGAUAUGUCUGUGUAGUGUGACUCUGAUGAGCUAAUUAUUGGCUUUUGAGGAGCACUUAGGAUUUUUAUGAGUAUUUCAGAGAAGUGCAGAGUGGGAGAGGGGGAGGUGAUGUUGAUUCCAGGCAAACAUGAAUUGUAUUUGUUUGCAUUUGCUUGUGGCUAUAAAAUAUUGACCUUCCAUUUUCAAUAUGGAGAAUUGUAGAGUUGGUACCUCUCAUCUCCAUACCCUACCUGGCCUGAUACCCCAAAGAUUGUUCGACCUGCAUUUCUGAACAAAAUAUCUGCCCUGAAUUCCUGUCUCUUUUUUGCCCCUAGUGAUCUGGGCUGGGUCAAAAGCUCCUUUUUAAUCUAGAUAGAGAACAAGCCCUAAACAGCAUGCCUCAGUUUCUGGUCUAGCCUGAUUCUUUCAUCACUAGAACUAAAGUGCUUUCUUGAGUAAAAGACAUUGAAAGACUUAAAAGGCAACUGUAAACUCAAGGGCUCC